ACCACCAUAGUCAAGCGGUAACCCGCUCGCUGCGGAGUAAAGUCCAAAAGCGGGCCAGCAGAGGUUCGACUCCUCUCGGUGGCA